rnacentral:misc_RNA from 1 species
AUUGGGAUGCGCCGAUUUUCAUUAAGUCGGCACUCCUAAAAUGUAGCUCUUGGCUGUUUCCUACUACAGCAGUUUGGCCUAUAGUUUUUGACUUUUGUCAAAUCUUUGGCUACAUUUGCUCCGGAAAUCAGUCUUGAUAAUACAGAAAACUCAUUUCAAACUUUGAUCUGAAAUCAGGUAGGGCUACCCGCUGAACUUAA